GACGAACGCUGGCGGCGUGCCUAACACAUGCAAGUCAACUUGACUGAAGGAGCAAUCUGACAGUAGAGUGGCGCAAGGGUGCGUAACGCGUAAGUAACUUGCCCCAAGGUAAGGAAUAACGUCGAGAAAUCGGCGCUAAUACCUCAUAAUGCAGCGGAUCCGCAUGGAUAUGUUGUUAAAGGUUUACCGCCUUGGGAUAGGCUUGCGUCUGAUUAGCUAGUUGGUGUGGUAACGGCACACCAAGGCUACGAUCAGUAACUGGUCUGAGAGGAUGAUCAGUCACACUGGAACUGAGACACGGUCCAGACUCCUACGGGAGGCAGCAGUGAGGAAUAUUGGGCAAUGCUCGAAAGAGUGACCCAGCAACGCCGCGUGGAGGAUGAAGGUAUUCUAUAUCGUAAACUCCUGUGAGAGCAGACGAAAGACAGAUUAUUAAUCUGGAUGACUGUAUGC
rnacentral:rRNA from 1 species